rfam:Ixodes scapularis strain Wikel colony gcontig_1107729161304, whole genome shotgun sequence.
AAAACGGUUUUUUUAAGAACCACUGAUACACUGUAAAAUCGGAUU